rnacentral:lncRNA from 1 species
GUAUUUGAGUGCAAAAGUGCAUACGAACGGCACAUAUUUCCUCUGUUUGUACAUAACUAGAUUCUUGUGGUGAGAGAGAUUCUCGAAAGAACUUUGGAAUCUGUGAGUGACAGCUCUUUUGGAUUAGAAUACCUAGUUUCACAGUGAAAUGAAUUCACAGCUUCGCCUUUGCUGACGAAUACCUUUCAAAAACCAUUUGCAGAUGAAUGUGCGCGAAGCAACAAAGUUGUGCCAAAACAGGUGAAGGAAAGAAGUCAUGGAACCAUCAGUAAGUCGCUUCACAUCAGAAAGCACGAGCGGUCCAAAG